rnacentral:rRNA from 1 species
UCCGGUUGAUCCUGCCAGAGGCUACUGCUAUCGGAGUUCGACUAAGCCAUGCGAGUUGAGGGUGCUUCUUCGGAAGUAACCCGGCAGACUGCUCAGUAACACGUGGAUAACUUACCCUUGGGACUGGAAUAACCCCGGGAAACUGGGGAUAAUACCGGAUAGGUCACCGAUGUUGGAAUGCACGGUGGCUCAAAGCUCUGGUGCCCAAGGAUAGGUCUGCGGCCGAUUAGGCUGUUGCCGGGGUAAUGUCCCGGCAAACCUGUGAUCGGUACGGGUUGUGAGAGCAAGAUCCCGGAGAUGGAUUCUGAGACGCGAAUCCAGGCCCUACGGGGCGCAGCAGGCGCGAAACCUUUACAAUGCACGAAAGUGUGAUAAGGGAACUCCGAGUGUCGGCACAUGUGUCGACUGUCCAGAUACCUAAAAAGUAUCUGAUAGCAAGGGCCGGGUAAGACCGGUGCCAGCCGCCGCGGUAACACCGGCGGCUCGAGUGGUAGCCAUUAUUAUUGAGUCUAAAGCGUCCGUAGCCGGUUUGAAAAGUCCUUUGGGAAAUCCUACAGCUUAACUGUCGGGCUUCUAGAGGAUACUCUCAGACUUGAGACCGGAAGAGGUUGGAGGUACUUCAGGAGUAGGAGUGAAAUCUUGUGAUCCCUGGGAGACCACCAGUGGCGAAGGCGUCCAACUG